rnacentral:rRNA from 1 species
AUUGAACGCUGGCGGCAGGCUUAACACAUGCAAGUCGAACGAGUGGCGGACGGGUGAGUAAUGCUUGGGAAUCUAGCUUAUGGAGGGGGAUAACUACGGGAAACUGUAGCUAAUACCGCGUCCCAUAGGAUGAGCCCAAGUGGGAUUAGGUAGUUGGUGGUGUAAAGGCGCACCAAGCGGACGAUCUCUAGCUGGUCUGAGAGGAUGACCAGCCACCAUGGUACUGGGACACGGCCCAGACUCCUACGGGAGGCAGCAGUGGGGAAUAUUGCGCAAUGGGGGAAACCUGACGAGGCCAUGCCGCGUGAGUGAAGAAGGCCUUCGGGUUGUAAAGUUCUUUCGGUAGCGAGGCGUUAACUACAGAAGAAGCACCGGCUAACUCCGUGCCAGCAGCCGCGGUAAUUC